AGCGAACGCUGGCGGCAGGCUUAACACAUGCAAGUCGAGCGGGCAUCUUCGGAUGUCAGCGGCAGACGGGUGAGUAACACGUGGGAACGUACCCUUCGGUUCGGAACAACUCUGGGAAACUGGAGCUAAUACCGGAUACGCCCUUAUGGGGAAAGGUUUACUGCCGAAGGAUCGGCCCGCGUCUGAUUAGCUAGUUGGUGGGGUAACGGCCUACCAAGGCGACGAUCAGUAGCCGGUCUGAGAGGAUGAUCAGCCACACUGGGACUGAGACACGGCCCAGACUCCUACGGGAGGCAGCAGUGGGGAAUAUUGGACAAUGGGCGCAAGCCUGAUCCAGCCAUGCCGCGUGAGUGAUGAAGGCCUUAGGGUUGUAAAGCUCUUUUGUCCGGGACGAUAAUGACGGUACCGGAAGAAUAAGCCCCGGCUAACUUCGUG
rnacentral:rRNA from 1 species